CAGGGAUAGGAUUGACAUGGAAGAUGAAGCACUCUUUACAUUUUAAAUAUCAAAUGUAUAUCAAGUGUUAUCCAUCCUCAUAACACCUCCACAAAUAAAGACUGGAACUUCUGAGCACCAUCACCUUGUCUGCUUUAGGACUGUCAUAGCCCAGCAAUCAGAUGCAUCAGAACAACAAAGCACAACUGUGGUGGCCCAGGCACCUUCAGCAACCAGUAAAUUGCUUUAACAUUAAUGAUAAUGAAAUGUCAGUAUUGUAAUUAAACUUGACCCAUCUGACGUAAUUGUUCAUGCCAGAGAUUUAACAACACUGUCAGUCAGGAGCAUAUUUAACAGGAGGCACACUUCAGCUGGCUUGAUGGUGACUUCAGUAAGUGUGGUUGACCCUCUUGUUUUUUGUGGCUAUAACAAUUUGGCUAAGUAAUCUCACUCUCUUCCAUUUCCUUAACAUGAAACAUCACCGUACAUCAUCUCUAGGUCCAGUCACCCAGUGCAGCCAGCUUCACAAAGACUGUGGGGCUUGUCACCAGGAAAAUGGACAACAGGGAGAGUUUUUGGGGUUUUACUCCUCAGAUGACCACCCUGGCUACUGUAGCUGGGAUUGCUUCACAGACGAUGGAGGUCUUGAAGUGUAAAUUGUGUGUGCGCUUGCAGUUCAUGUGUUUUCAGUGUAGUGUAAGAUGUUUAUUAUUGUUAUUACUCAAAAACAAUUAAAACUGCUAAAUU